GGGGGGCGUGGCACACGCGAGGAUCAGACGAGCUGGGCGUGACAAUGUAGAUUAGCGCUUUGUAUUGUUAUAAAUCCAAUUGAAACUCAAAUAUAUCACGAAAAUGAAUAUACCCAAAGCUGGCGGCGUGAACAGACCGAAGACGUCACAAGUAAACUUUUUGUUGUUUGCUGUCAAAAAAUAAAGAUAAGUUUGACCACUAGAUGGGGGAAAAACAUUUCUUUCCAGAACUGACUAAUCUUCAAUGUAUAUCUGAUUUAAGCACCCCAAUAGAUUUAACAUGCCAGCAUUUUUCUGUAUUUGAACCCUUAUAUGGGUAUCUUUAAAGGAAACCGUCUUCAUUUUACAUUUAACUCAUUUAUCUGGCAUCUAAUCCAAAGCUCCUUACAGCAGUGGGAAGGAUUACAAUUAAUAUGUAUUCUCUGGGGAGUAAACUGCUUUGUGGUGACUUGGUUGUGAAAGGUGCUACAUAAAGGUAAAUUGAAUUGAAUAAGUGUUACUGUUGCAGCUAAUUUGUUUGUGUUCAUUGGGCAAUACUAAAACUAAUGACAACAAAAAAGAUAAAAAUCCUUUAAAAUAUUAAAUUCCUCCAUUUUAGCGUGAUGUUAAUGGUGGGAAUUGACUGCCCAUCAGCUUCUGCUACAUUAUCUAAAAGCAUUUUACAUUAUCCCUGCCCAAAGCCCCCAGUGAGCGAGCCAGACGUAACAGUGGCAAGGAAAAACUUCCUAGUAGCAAGAAACCUUGAGAGGACCAGGAAGGGGGAGCCCGUCCCCCAGGGGCUGGGAGAGGAAACUCCAAAAUAGCAAAGUCGCAGUUUAUGAAGUAAAGUUGCGUAUAGUUCAGGUAUGAAUGUGGAAGAGUCACUGAAGCUGAUUUCAGGGCAGGCAGGUGAUGGGGCUGCUUUCGACAGCACAAUGGGUGGUGGUGUGUACAGGCAGGAGAGAUGUCAUUGGCAAAGGGAACAUCAUUGGCAGCCGGGCAGACAGGAGAGACAUUAAUGGCUGGAGGUCAGGCAGGAGGUACCUCCCUUCAGGAGAGAUGUCAUUGGCAAAGGGGACAUCACUGGCAGCCGGGCAGACAGGAGAGACAUUAAUGGCUGGAGGUCAGGCAGGAGGUACCUCCCUUCAGGAGAGAUGUCAUUGGCAAAGGGGACAUCACUGGCAGCCGGGCAGACAGGAGAGACAUUAAUGGCUGGAGGUCAGGCAGGAGGUACCUCCCUUCAGGAGAGAUGUCAUUGGCAAGGGGGACAUCACUGGCAGCCGGGCAGACAGGAGAGACAUUAAUGGCUGGAGGUCAGGCAGGAGGUACCUCCCUUCAGGAGAGAUGUCAUUGGCAGUGGAGCUGAUUGGGUCUCUGUAUUUCCGCUGGUCUUUACAGUGGAGAUGACUGAUUCUCUGUAUUACAGCUGGUCCUUACAGUGGAGAUGACUGGGUCAUUGUAUUACAGCUGGUCCUUACAGUGGAGAUGACUGGGUCACUGUAUUACAGGUGGUCCUUACAGUGGAAAUGACUGGGUCACUGUAUUACAGCUAAGGCCUACAGUAGAGCCAGCACAGUAUUAUACCAGGUCCAUACUGUGGAGCUGUGGAACUGUUUCUUUCUUAUCCUGAAGUAAGUUUGUUUCUUAUGUUGGCAUCCUGUCACACCACCCACCCUAACCCCCCCACCAUCAAACUACCCCGGCUGGGAGCAUCAAAGAACACCUCAGUUCACUGAGAUUACCUUAGAAUGCCGCUUGUUAACACACAAAAUAAGCUCUUCUGGUGUAGAGGUUAGGGUUAGGGUUAGGGUUAUAACCACAGGGUCCUCCCUCUUAAGCAAAGACGGUACUACAGGAUCUCCAGGAAAUAACCAGUUGUCCAAAUGUGUUGUGUUCUUAAAAUGUAGACAUUACAGCCCAUGAAGCUACUAUUUGUUUAGGCACCCAGGAAUGCCAGAGAGGUGCCUGCAUGAAGAUGCUAUCAGGCCUGCCCUUCAGACGGCAUAUCCUCCUGAACGGGAGCUGGCAACGCUCAGAUUGCUGUCCACAUCCCUGGCACGAAGCUAUCAUGACCAGGAAAUGUGAGGGGAAUGUUGAUGUGUCUGUGUAAGGUGGGCAUGGUGGGUAGAGGGGGUUUGGGAAGUAAAGCUGAUGGAACCCCCUGGGGAAUGAGGUGCUCAACACCAGAAAGUCCAGUAAAAUGUCCAGAAAGUCUACCUACGGCAAACAGCUCAGGAUGUAAGCUGAUCUUUAGGAAAUGGCUCAGGUUAGCUUGAAAUGGAUGUUUAUUUUUUAGGGUUUUUAAAGUUAUUUAUAAGCAGGAAAUAAUUUUAAGAAUGCCUAAGGUGUAUUAUAUCCUAUUAGCUAUGCUGUUUGAUGCAUACAGAGGGGGUGCUGGAAGCGUCUGAUGGAAGCCCCUGUCCAGGAAAUCUUUAACUCCCGCAGCACUUCUCUUACAUCCCGUGGGAUUCAGGGGACUUUGAGCCUGAAUGGCAAUGUUCUGAGACUCCAUUGCUGAGGCAGCAUUGAAGAGCUAUGGCUGUAAGACUGUUAGUGCCUGUCAUGGUGGCAAUAAAUUGGCUUUGGCAGUUGCCGAAGCAAAAACUUAGGUAUGGGAGUUCAGUUCAGGUAUGGAGAAGGACAUUAGUUUGGCCUCAAAAUAAUUCUGGCAAAUUGUCAGGUGACUAGCAGGGCUUUACUCAUGCUGGUUACAACAGGGAUGGUGAACUCUUGUCCUCAAAUGGGUAUAUAAUCAGGCAGUGGAAAGGAUAUUUUGAGGACAUCCUGAAUCCCACUGAUACAGCUUCCUUGGAGGAAGUAGAGCUGGAAGACUCAGAGAAGGACUUGUACACCUCUAUGACUGAGGUCACCGAAAUAGUCAAAAAGUUCUUCGGUGGAAAGGCUCCAGCAGUGAAUGAGAUUCGCCCUGAGUUCUUGAAAACUCUUGAUGUUGUUGGGCUGUUUUGGCUGACACGCCUCUUAAAUAGUGCAUAGAGGUUAGAGACAGUGCCUUUGGAUUGGGAGACUGGGGUUGUGGUCCCAAUAUUUAACUGGAGGGGGGCUGGACUGUUUCAACUGCAUGGGGAUCACACUCGUCAGCCUCCCUGAGAAGGAGCAAUACGUUUAUGAAACCCAAGCAGGUCACGCCUCGAGUCUGUAACUGGGCACAUUAAGAUGUGCUUCACUCUGCCAUUCAAACAGCUGCAGGGCUUAACAGGUUCGUGCGUGGUUGGACAUAUUUGCAUCUGUGGUUGUAUGUGCGUAUGUGCGUCUGUGGUUGUAUGUGCGUCUGUGGUUGUAUGUGCGUAUGUGCGUCUGUGGUUGUAUGUGCGUAUGUGCAUCCCUGGUUGCUUGUGUGUAUUUGCGUCUGUGGUUGUAUGUGCGUAGGCACAUGUAUGGCUCUAUUAACCAGAGUAAAUUUGCUUUCUUGAAUGAGUCCAAUGAAAAAUAUACAUGGUGGGGAGGUCCCUGUAAGAACAACUGCAUUUUUAUAGCAGUUGUAGUUUAUCAUUUUUCCCCUGUUGUCGAGUGCUCGUGGUUGGCAUGAGGGCCCCUUAAUGAUGGUGAAGUGGAACAUCUUCAGAAAUAUAUCUGCAGAUAACAUAUUUAUAGGUAACCUAUGCCAACUUUUCAGUUGACACAUUUAGAGAAAACCUCCUCCUGGAAACUAAGGGAUUGACAAGAAUGAAACAAAAUACAAGAAGAAAGAUACAGACUAUAUGGGCCUGUUUAUCCAGGGGUGGGUCUCCCUGUCAGGACAUGUGCCAAACUGGGACUGUGAGGACCAGCCACACAAAACUCUUGAUUUUUCUUAUUACUUUUUAUUUAUUUUUUGUGACUUCAGCUGGGAUAGAAGUCGUUAAUUCUGUUCAGCGGCAAUGGGACAUUCCUACAACUAUAGCGUAUAAUGUACAGUGUGUGUGUGUCUCUGUCUACGUGUGUGAAUACUGAACUGUGAACAUGGAUGCACCUCCCUGGGGGAAAGAUGGGGAGAGCAGCCAGAUGUGGGGGUCUACUAUGACCCCCACAAAGCCAUCCCCUUCCAAGCAAAACAAGUCACGCUCUCAGUGUGCUGGGAGAGAAUUUGGCCCAGGUUCACUCACAGUUUAUCUUUUGUGUACCUCCCAGCACCAGUCAGUGGCCUCCGAAUGGCCGAACAAAAGCUCCUGGAAUGCCGAUGUGGCUUUGCCGGCAGCUUCCACAUGCGCCCUCUGCACAAAGUCACUUGCCAGCAUGAGAUCAUAGCUGUGGGCCGCUCUGCCUCGGAGCCCAGCUGCCUGCUUUCUCCUCAGCUGGAUAUCGGGCUGUUCCAUGGCACAGUGCAAACGUGGAUGGGACAGAACAGCAAGGCAAGCUUUCGGCCGCUUUGCCCAUGAGUUUAACGGGAGUUCUUUUCGUUCCCCCCGGAUGGUUUGUUUAGGAAUAUAAAGCAGUGACCACCUGCACUCAAAGGCAGCCAGCUGGAUCUCCCUCCAGUCCAUUGUGUCAUUCGGAUAAAAUUGCUCUCUCACGACAAAUUUAAGUGACCACAUAGCUUGGACUUUUUAGAAGUUGAUUUUUUUUGCCACAACUGCUCCCUGUGGAAGGUCUGUGUGAACUCCUGCUGGGUUUGGCUCUGCUCCCUCAGAAUUUGGGAGCCUCAGGUCUUUCUCUCUGUCCCCAGGACAUAGAUAUACAUGCAAGUUGCUGCAAGAACACACCCCAUGCCUGCUUCUCUGCUACAAUCUUUGCAUCAUUCAGGGGAGACCAGGGACAUCUGAUGAUUUUUUUUUCCAUUUUUACAAGUUGAUGAAUAAUAAGUUUUGUAAGUUGUGCAGGAGGAUUAGGUAACUAUCCUUUGAAACACCUGACCCUGUACAACAAUUGUGGAAGGAAUCCCUAACUAUCUAAUAUGCGGAUGCCUGUCACCUUCAGAAAUCACUGACUGUUGAGAGCAGAAAUGCAGGAAGGCAUUGAACUACCAGCUUAGGAGUGUCUGAAGUGAACAUGCCCAUCUCACACAGGAAAAGGCCCCAUUUAGUCCAGUUCAGCACAGUCCUGUCUAUGGUGUUAAUACAGAAAGGCCUUUGAUUUUUUUUAACUUUUUUAUUUAAAUAUGUUGCUAAUGUGGAAUGAGGUGUUCCUGUAGCCUUUUGAGUUCAAAUAGACAUACUGUGAAUAAGUGGUCUCCCCUAUUACAAGAAUGUCAAAAUGCCUGGUCUUUUAUAUUAACAACAUUAUGGUUUGUUGGUGAAUUAAUUUGAAAAUACUUUGCACAAUGACCAGGUAAGCCGAAACCAUGAAAUUUACUAUUGCUUGAGCAUUUAAUUUAAGUUCUCAAAAUGUGCUUGCCAGACAGCCUGAGACAUAACAGUUAAAAAAAUAGGAAAAUACGUAAGAUAUGCUUAGAAUAAUAUGUAAGAUUGGGAACAAACUGGGCCAAGGUAGAUUAAUGAUGUAACUCUAUAAACAGUGCUUACCUGGUCAUCAGCAAACCAAACAAACACCGCGAUACAGAUGGUCUUAUUCUGAUUUUGAUUAAACUGUUCUUGUCAUCAAAA